GUAGGUGGCAAGCGUUGUCCGGAAUUAUUGGGCGUAAAGCGCGCGCAGGCGGUUCUUUAAGUCUGAUGUGAAAGCCCACGGCUCAACCGUGGAGGGUCAUUGGAAACUGGAGAACUUGAGUACAGAAGAGGAAAGCGGAAUUCCACGUGUAGCGGUGAAAUGCGUAGAGAUGUGGAGGAACACCAGUGGCGAAGGCGGCUUUCUGGUCUGUAACUGACGCUGAGGCGCGAAAGCGUGGGGAGCAAACAGGGAUUAGAUACCCUGGUAGUCCACGCCGUAAACGAUGAGUGCUAAGUGUUAGGGGGGUUUCCGCCCCCGUUAGUGCUGCAGCUAACGCAUUAAGCACUCCGCCUGGGGAUACGGCCGCAAGGCUG
rnacentral:rRNA from 1 species